rnacentral:rRNA from 1 species
AUUGAACGCUGGCGGCAUGGCUAAAACAUGCAAGUCGAACGAUCCCUUCGGGGAGAGUGGCGAAAGGGCGAGGAAUAGAAUCGAAUGUACCCCAAGGUGGGGGAUAGCCUCUGGAAACGGAGGGUAAUACCCCAUGUGCUCUACGGAGGAAAGGUUUACCGCCUUGGGAGCAGCGAUUCUCCUAUCAGGUAGUUGGUGAGGUAACGGCUCACCAAGCCGAAGACGGGUAGCGGGUGUGAGAGCAUGACCCGCCGCAUCGGGACUGAGACACUGCCCGGACUCCUACGGGAGGCUGCAGUAACGAAUCUUCCGCAAUGGGCGAAAGCCUGACGGAGCAAUGCCGCGUGUGGGAUGAAGCAUCUUCGAUGUGUAAACCACUGUCAGGGUCUAGGAAUACUGACCAGACCCAAAGGAAGGGCCGGCUAAUUCCGUGCCAGCAGCCGCGGUAAAGUCAG